rnacentral:lncRNA from 1 species
UUAAGUUUGGGGUGGUUUUUUUUAUUCUUAUCUACCAAAACGUUCCCCACACGUGACAAGCAUUCCCAUUUCUCAACCAGAGACACUGAGGCACAAGAACCGACUUGUCUAAAACGACUCGACGCGGCAGACAGGAAUGGCAGCCGAGCCCCGAGCACCCACAUACCAGGCUCCUCGGUAAACCCCUCCUCGUCCCCCCAGCAGCACCUCUCGUGUCGAGGCAGAUGUCUGGGGCUGAGGCGAGGGCUGCUGUCCGCUGGCGCCGGCGUCGCCCUCCUCGGCGCUGCAGGGCCGCCGAGGGCGUCCAUCUUGUUUCACCUCAGGAUUUUAUCGAAUGCCCAUCUCCCUGAUGAAGUCUUUUAACUCUGAUUUUUGGUAUGAGGCUGAUUAGAAGAUUUUUGUGAUAAAUUCAACAGAUCACUCUCAAAAGGAGUUUUUUAUCUAAGUUUUAGAAUAAGAACCACAUAACAUAAGUAAUUCAGGUUGUAAAUAAAGCUAUAAAUGAUUACUAAUAUUCA